AGUGAACGCUGGCGGUAGGCCUAACACAUGCAAGUCGAACGGCAGCACAGUAAGAGCUUGCUCUUACGGGUGGCGAGUGGCGGACGGGUGAGGAAUACAUCGGAAUCUACUUUUUCGUGGGGGAUAACGUAGGGAAACUUACGCUAAUACCGCAUACGACCUACGGGUGAAAGCAGGGGAUCUUCGGACCUUGCGCGAUUGAAUGAGCCGAUGUCGGAUUAGCUAGUUGGCGGGGUAAAGGCCCACCAAGGCGACGAUCCGUAGCUGGUCUGAGAGGAUGAUCAGCCACACUGGAACUGAGACACGGUCCAGACUCCUACGGGAGGCAGCAGUGGGGAAUAUUGGACAACGGGCGCAAGCCUGAUCCAGCCAUACCGCGUGGGUGAAGUAGGCCUUCGGGUUGUAAAGCCCUUUUGUUGGGAAAGAAAAGCAGCAGGUUAAUACCCCGCUGUUCUGACGGUACCCAAAGAAUAAGCACCGGCUAACUUCGUG
rnacentral:rRNA from 1 species